GGGACCACCCGGGAGGAGCAGCCUCGAGCCCGGCACCCCGGGAUGGAGAGGAGAGGGGGGUCCCCAGGGAGACCCCGGUCCAGACGGUCCCCAGGGGCCACCAGGGCCACCGGGCCCCCCGGCUCACCCGACCUCGUGCCAGAAAGGGCAGCCGGGAGCGCAGGGCAAGAAGGGGAACCGCGGCAGCGCCGGGCGCGGGGGCGAGAAGGGGCACGGAGGCGCG